rnacentral:lncRNA from 1 species
AUCCAACCGAAACCUGGUUCCCCGACUCCCAUCCUCCCUGCCGGGCAGGAAUUGUUUUCCUAUUACAUCCUUCUCUCGCACCUUCCCCGCUUCCCGCAGCAGCCUCCACUGUCCUCACCGUCCCCAUCCUCAUCCAUGGCGAAAUCCUCGCCCCCGGCCUCAUGAAGAUCCAGCACGUCCGCCAUCUUGCCUCCCUUCUUGCUCUCGUCCGUGCCGCUCAGGCACUAGGCACCUCGGGAAACUGUCGCGGAGGGGAAAGGUCGCUAGUCAAGUUGACCAAUCAAAAGCUAAGUCUAAGUCCCGCCCCCGGCGCAGCGAAAAUACGCAAUGGAGGCGGGCCUUAUUCGGGAAGAUGCCGGAAGUGUUCCUGUAGCCAUCUUGAGCAAGUGGUCAGCUGAACAGAGUGGCACUGUUAGGGACAAGGUAACGGGUGGCUGCAGGCAGUGCCCUAUUAAGUAGGGCAGCCGAGGAGAAAUACUACUGCCAGCGGAGCACAGCCGAAUUUCUUUAUUAGAGGAUUGUGUACCGUCUCCUUGGACUCCGUACCAAAUGGAAGUUUGAAGAACGUUUUUUCUCUCAAAACUUCUAGACCUGUAUCCUGCUCUGAAGAGCAGCUGGAUCUGUGAUGGAAACAUUUUAAAAAUAGUUCAGUCCGUAAUGCUGGGUACUGAAGCUGUUUCUGGCUCGUACUGCAGCACCGAAUAUCUCUUAACACUAACAGACCUGGUUGUCCGGGAACUAGCAUUGGUGACACGGGUGUCAACUUCUUAAAAUUUUUUUUGUUGUUAUAAUUUUUUUAAGAUAAACUCUCAAACUCUUCCCACCACCUCUGGGGAUUAAAAAACAAAACAAAAUCAUGGCUUUGAACAAAAUGGGGGCUUUAACCUCUUUGGGAAUGGUGCGUGUAUUUCAUGUUUAAAAACCUAGGCGUUGAAAAAACAAACAAACCUAGGAGUUGAGGCAAAACCCAUAUUGCCCCCAAAUUCUGGAAUCCUGAUGUAAGUAAACCUUUAACAAUAGUGGACUGCAGAUUCAUUUAUUUAUUAAUUUUUUAAUCAAGCCGUUAUGUGACUUUAAUAUUAGAGAAAGUGUGGGCAAUACAAGGCAAAAUAAUCUCAUUAUCAACAAUCACUUUAUAACUACAUUAUGAAAGUGAUAAUUGCUACGACAAAGUGUAAUGGCAGUACAAAGAAAGUUUCUAAUAGGACUGGGAGUAAGAAGGGCUUCCAUUUGAACUGGGCCUUUAAGGCUGGGUAGUUUUCCAGGCCACGCAGCUGUACUGAGAAUAGGAGACACUAAUCCAUUCUCCACAGUAAGUAGUGUGAUCCUUGAAAAAAAAUCAGCUGGUCAUAUCCCUAACAAAACCCUUCCUUGACUUUUUCACUUGGGAAUAAAAUUUGAACUGCCUACUCUGCCUAUUUACAACGACCUCCAUUACCAUUCUGCCUUCUUAUUAAGCUCUCCCUACAUUUUCCCUCAACUGUGCUGUCUCUUUCCCACCUCAGGACUUUUGCAACUUUCUGUUCCUGAUGCUCUUAUUCCAGCUCUUCACAUGGCUCAUUCAACUUCAUCCUUUAGGUCUCCCUAAAAUACUACUUUCUCUACUUUCCUGUCCUUCACUCUUGUUUAUGUCCUUCACAGAACUAGCUUACUACCUUGUUUACUUUCUGACUCGUUUAUUGUCUGAAUUCCCAUUAGAGUGUAAUCCUUAUGGCAGAGACCCUUAAUUACAACAAUAUCCCCAAAGUUUAGACCAGUGUCUAGCUCACAGUAGACAUUUGAUACAUGCUUAUUGAAUGAACAAAUAUCAGAAUGGCAAGAAAUUGUUUGCCUGAUGCUGUGUGGCUAGGAAAUAAAGCUAGAAGUACAGGUUAGGGCCAAAAUGUAUGCCAUGCUAAGGAUAUUGAAAUUUUAUCCCGUAGGCAAGAAUUUCUGUACUUCAAGUAUUUGAGUAUUCAUGAUUUUUCACAACUGUAAAUAGUCCCCAUGCUGUUUCUUGAUUAGUGUUUCUCCUUAUGUAGACUGACUUUUUAAUUAAACAAAUUUUCACUAAAUUUAAAUAUCACUGCCAUAAAUGUAAAAUCUGUAUUUUUUUCUACUACAGUUUCCGAUUAAAAUAUAAAAUAAGUAAAAAUGAAAAAUGUUUGCCCCUCUACCACCUAAAAUCAUCUCAGGUAAUACCAAGGGUUCCCAUAUAAAACUUCGGGGAAUGCUGUUAAGGACAAGGAUAGCUAAGUGAUGGUUUAAGCAAGGUAGUGGUGCACUCCUAAGUAUUUUAGAAAGAAAUCUGACAGUAGUUGAGAGGAUGUUAAGAAUGAAGGCAGAGGCUGGUAAGGAAGCUAUUGCAGUGGUCCAGCCCAGAGAUGAUAAAGGACUGAACUAAGGCAGUGGAUAUGGACAAGACAGAUUAGGAAGUUUAUAUAGGAGGUAAACUCAACAGCAAGUGACUGAUUAGAUCAUGGUAAGGAAUGGACCUAAGGUUCUAAUUUAAGUAACUGGGUAGAUAAUAAUCCUAAUAACAGAUUUGGGGAGUCAAAGAAGAGCAUGUAUGAAAUGGCUUUUAUUUUGAAUAUGUGACUUCAGAGAGCUUGUGUCAUAAAUUCAGGUGGUGAGGGGCACCUGGGUGGCUCAGUCGGUUGAGCGACCAACUUCAGCUCAGGUCAUGAUCUCACUGCUUGUGAGUUCAAGCUCCACAUGCAGCUCUGUGCUGACAGCUCGGAGCCUGGAGCCUGCUUCGGAUUCUGUGUCUCCCUCCCUCUCUGCCCCUCCCCUGCUUGCUCUCUCUCUCUCUUUCAAAAAUAAAUAAACAUUUAAAAAUUUUUAAAAAUAAGAUAAAUUCAGUUGGUGAUGUCAUGGAAAUAUAGAUGUAAAAGCUCAAAAGGGUGAAAGAGAUUGAGAAUGGUGUAUAAGAUAGAGUUGAAGUCACCAUGGUGAGUGAGUUCGCUAGUGGAAAUGGGUAGACCUUGAAAAGAAAGGGUCAGUGACAAAAUCCAGGUUCCUCAAAUGUCUGAAGGGGAAGCAGAAUGCCUUCCCCCAACAGUACAAUCUUAUUUCUGCCACCCAAAAAAUACUAAUCAAAAUUAUCUUUUAGUCUGUUUAUAAAAGAAAGGGUCGUUUUAGAGUUCCUCUGAUACAUAUGUCUUAAGAAAGAGUCAAUCUGGCUCACUAGACAAAAAUCUAUUUUUAAUUGUAUAAAAUUAUACAUAUAAAAUACAUAGAAAGUAGUAAAAAGAUAAGCAAAAUCUUUAACAAUGAAAGUGGACAGAUCAGGGAACAAUUUUUCUCCAGUGCUUUGGGAUCUUAACUGGUUGUUACUUGAGAAAAAUAAUCCAGGAGGUGCAAAGGAGAAGUUCUUCCCACAACUCACACCCCUUCACACUUCUCAGAGAAAGGAGCAUAGGAGAAAUGAGGGUUUAUGAUGUCUGGAUUAUAAAUAUCAAUAAAAACUGGGUAGACAUACCUGUUAUUUAACAUAGGAGCCUCUACUCCUACCCUACAUGUGCUUCGUGGUAUACAGAGAUGGGACUUGGAGAAUUCCAGGAGGUCCCUUUCGAGCACUAAAACAGUUGCUAGAUUCCUUACCACUGAUCCCAUAUGUACUGAUCACCAAGAUGAUUUCAAAAGCAAAAAAGCUGAUUUUCAUCUUAUCCCUGUCUGAUCCAAAAGAGCAAAUUGUGGCUUAUUUCCUAACCUAUUUCUAAAAACAAAGUGUUUAAUCAUAGAAUGGAAAGUCCAAUUUUGCAGAAACAGGAAACGUCCCAACACAUUUUAGAAAGUGCACCGAACUAUAAUAUAGUAUAAAGGAGUUUAUAGAAACAAAGGGAAAACACAUCUUUGAGAGACCUAUAAAAAAUUCUCCCAAAGAGGAAUGCUUUAGCUGUACUCCAGAUAUUUCUCCCCUAUUUCACCCAGGAGAGAGAUUGGGGGUGGGAGGCGGAGAGUCUUAAAAACACAGUUGAUCAUGUAGUCUCUUUUCCCUCCUGCAGUCUCCCCAGGGUUCCAGUUAGGAAGUGCCAUAAUGCCAGUCGCAACUAAUUUUCUUGAUCAACUCCUGCUCUAAUAACCAACGUGGAAGAAGAGGAAAGAAAAGAGAGAAAACAACUGUGAAUCUAUGGACAUCAAAGGUAGCAAACAGCAGCAACUUUGUGAGAGAGGAACACGGCCCUCACCAAAGAGGACAAAUAAUGUUUCCAAAGAGCAACAUGAAGGGAAGAGACAGAGUUGGGAAAUAUGUUUACCUCCUACCCAUUUCUGCAGACAGGAAGGUUUAAACACAGGGCUCAGUGAAGCUGGGUGAGCAGAGAGGAAUGAAGAGGGAAUAUUGGAAGAGGCUUCAAUGCUGAUCCCUUCUGGAGCAAGAACACACCCGGGAAGCUGGUAUGGUAUCUAUGCCCCAGAAGCAACUUAGGUGAUAAACACCUAGUUUUGUGUUUAUAAUUCCUCUCUUCUUCCUGGGAAGUUUCUCAGGAAUAAUUUGAACAAGCAGCUGUCUACUUCCUUCCAAAUUAAUAAAGGAAGUCUCAAAAUGAAGUACCGCUUGGAGGCAGAGGAGGAGUAAGGGAGUGGCGGGAAGCGGUUGGUGGGGAGUCUAGGCAAGGAAAUGUCUAGUCACUGGAGGAACAGCUCAGUACUAAGUAGGCCCAACUCAAGAUAAACUUAAGCCAAAGCCUUCAUACUCGUACCCUGUUUGGAGUCCAAGAGAAAGCAGGAAUGAGGUUGAGGGUGAGGGUGGGGCACACAGACCUUAUUCAAACUCCCUGUUAGAUUAUAAGAACACUUUGUCAAUCAUUUUGUGCUAUUGAAAUGACUACACAGAGCUGGGAGUAUAAGCACCAACAAAGCUCUGAAGACAGCCUGCUCUUUUUACAAAGUGGAAUGAGGAUGUUUCAAAGGAAACUACAUCCAAAAACUAGAAGAAAAGGGAUCUCUCAGCAAAUUGGGAUCUGAGUGUAGAAUUUAUACAUAUACAUAUAUAUAUCUAUAUUUUAAAGUAUAAAAUUGAGAAAGUAUGUACAGAAAUCAUACUAAGUCUUAGAAAAGACAUUAUCAAAAAGAGCCUGGAGAGGAUGGGGAGUAUGUGCAUGGACGCCUAGCAGUUGGAGGAAUGCAUAUUGCCCAACUGCCCAGCGGCCAGCAGGAGAAUAUCUUUCUUCUCCUUGUGGAAGCGCAGCUCCUUGCCUGCCAGCCGAGCUUCGUCCAGCUCCCGCUCAGUAGAGGCCAGCUCUCUAGACAGUGCCCCUGGCACACUCUGCUCCCGGCUCACCCAGUCCAAUGCCAUUUGAUGGCGAAUAUCAUCAUCCAGGGCCCGGUGUGAAUAAUGAGCCAACACUUCCUGCAAGGGGAAAGGAAAAUGAAGGUUACUGACAAAGUCAAGGUUCAUACCAAAUGGACCCAAUGGGAUGAGGAACUCUUAGCCUUGGAGUCCUAACUGAAGUCAGCACGUAAGUCCUUUAAGGAGAUUCUUAAGGGAAACUUCCCCGUGGGGGAAGCAAGGCAGGCAAAAGAGCUACAGUUAAGAUCUAAAUAGGAAAGAUGUUAGGAAUGAAGAGGGUACUUUGAGGCUUUCAGGAUUCACAACCUGGUAACUAUAGGCCUGCUUAUGUCUAACAUAACAGCCACCUCGAAAUAGUCCUUCUGCAAGACUCCUCUCACAGACAGGGUCUCUUACCUGCCGAGAGCACUGUCUCUCCCUCAUGGCCUUAAGGCUGCCAUUCCAGUGCAGCAGCUGAAAAACUGUCAUUAGUUCCUGGAGGAAGAAGACAUGAAGUGCCAGAACAGUGAUUUAUAUUGAGGGUUUGCAUCACAAUUACAUGGGGGACCUUUUACAGAAUGUAUUUACGUAAGCAUCUCUUUUUUUUUUUUUUUAAUUUUUUUUUCAAUGUUUAUUUAUUUUUGGGACAGAGAGAGAAAGAGCAUGAACGGGGGAGGGGCAGAGAGAGAGGGAGACAGAAUCGGAAACAGGCUCCAGGCUCUGAGCCAUCAGCCCAGAGCCCGACGCGGGGCUCGAACUCACAGACCGCGAGAUCGUGACCUGGCUGAAGUCGGACGCUUAACCGACUGCGCCACCCAGGCGCCCCUAUAAGCAUCUCUUAUACCAACUCUGAUGUGCCCUUCAGGGAAGGAAGGUAUUUAUAUAUUGAAAAAUAUUCUAACCUUCUCUCCCUUCCCUUCCAACUGAUGAUCAAUGAGUUAGGGAUUAGAAGGAAAUAUAAUUAAUAUAAUAUAAUAUAAUAUAAUAUAAUAUAAUAUAAAUGCAGGUUGAUCCAUGUUAUGAGAGCCAUAGUACCUGGAACUCCAACAUUGACUUGCCCUUGUUGGAUUCCAGCAUGAAUCGGAAGGCACCAAUCCCUGUGUUUGGGUUGUCAGCUUCCUCCCUGUUGCCCUGUAACAGAGGAAAGGAAAAGACAAAUAGAUUUUCAAUCAGGAUUAUCACCUCAAGCAGCACUGUCCUGUAGAAAUAUAACGCAAGCCCCCAAUCUAAUGUAACAUUUUCUAGUUGCCACGUUAAAGUAAAAAUAAACAGGUAAAAUUAAUGUAAAUAGCAUGUUUUAUUUAAGCUAAUAUAUUCAAAAUAUAAUUUAGCUAUACUUAGCAUAAAAAUUUUUCAUGAAAUUUUUACAUUCUUUUUCUUAUACCAGGGUUUCAAAAUCUGAAGUCUCUUCCACAUUUACAGCACAUCUCGAUUCAUACUAGCCACAUAUCAGGUGUUUAACAGCUACAUGUGGCUGGUGGCUAUUCUGCUGGUCAGCAUAGACCUAGAAGACUCCAAAGUCAUCACACAUAUUAACUCAAGUGACAGAGGUCAAUCUGAUUUUCCCUAUCUUACAAAGAGGGAACACUGAAACAUAGAGAAGAACCCCGAUUUAGCCAAAAUAACAGAGUGAGUCCAACACACAGGAUUGGACUAGCCUAGAGGAUAAUUGGGCAAAUGCAUUUUCAAGGGAAACAGUAGGAGCCAUAAAGCAUAGUAAAUUCUGGGUAGCAGUUUGGCCUCUUAGACAUUUGGCUUGUGUGUUCUAGUGGUUACAUGACCCUGUGGGGAUAGAACUAAGAUUCAUUGCCUGUGCAAACAAACAAUACGGUAUAGACUGGAUCUCCUACUAAUCUUGAGGCCUUGGGGAAGUCAUUUAACCUCUCUGUUCCUGUUUCCUCAUCUGUAAAAUGGGAAUAAUCACAGAUCUAUCUCCUAAGAUUGUUUUGAGAAUUAAAUAAGAAAUUAUUUAAAAAGGGAUAAAUGUGGUUUUAAAACUCCAAUUAUAUAAAAUGUGGUACAUUAUUAUACUAGACUUGGUAUCCAGUUACACAAUCCAAAUCCAUUCUGGUACUGGCUUUGGUUUAGUGGUACUUGAUGGUGGUUUAGUAUUACUGGGGAUAAUUCCAGACCCUGGGGCUGGCUGGGACUUCCAAAAUAAGGGUAGCUGCUAUUUUUUUUUGGUGACCUUUUUGUCAGCCUGAUCUAGGAAAAUAAAACCAGGAGACUUCUGGGAACACAGGAACCCAACUUUCUCCUUCUACUUCCUGACAAGUUGCCUGAUCUUUCUAGCCCAUUCUGCACCACCGUCCCUGCUCCACGCCUCCCAAGAUUCUGCUCUCUUUGAGAAAGGGGACUAGGUAGAAGUGAGGAGCCAAUCAAGUUAUAUCCAAAUUCAGUUUAUUAUGGGGCACUUCUCCAUGGGGCUGUACUGUAUAUGUAUUAUAAUAAUUCCAUGUGCUUAGUAAGUAUACCAUAUGUGCUGGCUUAUUUGUUUUCACUCUGCUAGAAUCAACAAGAAGUCACACAAGAUCAACCCAUAUUAUUUUGUGGCUUCUGAGAAGCAACAUGCCAACCAGUAGUUAAUCUUCAUGGUGAAGCAAAGAACACAAAAUUUGGAUUUAAAAAAGAAAAGCUACAGAGAGGAAGGAAAAAGGUAACCUUCACUAUUAGCAUUUAGGGCCCUGAAGCAAUUAACCUGUUUCAUGGUUGCCUAUAAUCAUUCAAUAUGGUACCUUAUUCAGUACCUCCAGAGUUUUCCAUGAUAUAGUACAUAGAAAGUAAUGAUUAUCUCUGUACAGCCAACUGGGGUAUACAGAAGAAGCUGCGGGCAGAGGAGCCCAUCUAUCCCAGGCCUUGCUCUUGGACAGAGCAUGAGCAGCGGAGGGGCAGAGAAAGAGAGGGAGACACAGAAUCUGAAGCAGGCUCCAGGCUCUGAACUGUCAGCACAGAGCCCGAGGCGGGGCUCGAACUCACAAGCCAUGAGAUCAUGACCUGAACCGAAGUCAGACCCCCAACUGACUGAGCCACCCAGGUGCCCUGAAAUCAAUGUGAUUUGGAGUAUGGCGAUUCCACUGGGAAAUUAAUGAGCAAUCUAUUAAAUUCUCAGUUUUGAGGGGUUAGGCAAAUAGAAAUAUUGGCAGAGAAUAAAAACAAUUUGUUUCCUAAACACUUUGUAGUAGACACUGCUGGUGACUUAGCCGACAUCUGUUUCCUUCUUCCUUACUAUAGAACCUUAAUCUUGUUCUACUACCUACCAUCUCCCAUGUAUCUCCCUCAGGGAAGAGUGAUUUUAUCCUCUAAUUUCAGUGGGUAAAUCCUAACCCAUUUUGCUUGUAAUUGGUUUUAAGGUGGGAAUUCUGGCCAUUAGGAAGUAGAAGGGAGGUCUACUGGCGGGUUUCUGGGAGAAGAUUCCUUACUACUAAAGAGGUACUAAAAGAAGGUCUCAGGGCACCUGACUGGCUCAGUUGGUAGAGCAUGCAACUCAAUCUCAGGGUCUUGAGUUCAAGCCCCACAUUGGGUGUGGAGCCUACCUACUUAAGAAAGAAAGAGAGAAAGAAAGAUGGUGUCUUUCUGUCUUUGAAUAUGGUUACAUCUGUAUUUAAUAUCUGAAAUUCUGUAGUCAUCUUGCACCCUUGCAUCUGAAGGGAGCCAGCUCAAGGACAAAGACAGUAUCUAGAGGAUGGCUGAAUGGAGAGAUGGAAAGAAUUUGGCUAGUAGAUGAUGACAUUCUUGAUCCAUGGAAUCAACCAGCCUUGAAAUCUUCUCUACUUCUGGACUUCCUGUCAUGUUAGAGAGUAAAUUUCCUUUCUUGGUGUAUUCCCUUAAGUCAGUUUGAAGUAAGAUUUUUCUAUUACUUGCAUCCAAAGGCAUCAAAACAGAUAACACGUGCUAAGUGCUUAAAUAUAUUCUCUUCUAUCCAGUAAUCCUACAGGUAUAAUUGUUACAGAUGAGGAAAUUGAGACUUAGAUUAAGUAACUUGCUCAAAGCCACAUAGCUAGUAGAACCAUAAUUUCAAAAUGAUGAAUUCAGAGUCCAUGCUUAUAAGCAUUGCUUUCUAUAAUCCAAACCAGUGUUUCACUUUAUAAUAUAUUAGGUGACUUAAGAGUGAUAAAUGUACUUUCUUAAUUUAAUUGGCUUUGAUCAAUAUAAAAAAUUGUUUUUAUUCCUUGUAGAUACUUCUGACCAGGGCAAAGAGAAAUGGGAGGAAAUCAGAUGGGUAACAGAGGGAAGCCAACUUAUUAUCUAAAGUGUUCAACACUAACAAAUACACAAACAGAUAACUGAAGUGGUUUAGUAUAUGUAAUUACAUCUUAACUUCAAAGAGAACAGAAACAGAAAAUUGGUCAGACUUUCACCCUAUCACCCUAUCAGUGAACUUGCGGGAAGGAAGAGAGAAGGCAGUGUUCAUUUCCAGGAUGCACCCCUAAGCUAGAAAAUUCUGAGUCAACUUGGGUUCCAGUCUUGGCUCUACCACUUUCUAUCUACAUCCCUUCAGGCAAAAUUUCACUUCUAUGUUUUUAGUUUCCUUAUCUGUAAAACAGGGGUACUAAUAGUUCUUAUAUCUCAGAGCAUUAUGGUGAUGAUCAAAUGACAUAAAAUACACAUAAAUCCCCUGGAACAGUCCCUGACACAAAGUAAAUACUCAAUUAGGAUUAGCUGUGGUUAUCAUCAUCAUCAUCAUCAUCAUCAUCAUCAUUUGAAGGAACAUUCUUUUGAAAGAGAGUAAAAAAAUUACCCACCCCAUUCGUGGAAAGGAAAAAAAUAAAAACUAAGACACUGUAUUAUAAAGUGUUCUUUAUUAAUAGGAGAGGUCACGGAGAUGAAUGGCAAUAAGAAAAGUCAUAAAAAUUAAAAAAAAAAAAAAAAAAAAAAAGAACAGUGAAGUAAGAAGGGAGUAAGGUCUUAAACCAAAAUUGGGAAAAGCAAAAUUCAAGCUCAGGUUUUAUUUUGAAAUAUCUCUAAAAUUCCACAAAUCUUGAAUUAAAGGUUUCUAGAUACCAAGGAGAUACAAUGAAAGAGGCAAAAUACCAACAAAAACAUAAACAUACACAUAGAAUCAGUGAUUGAGACAUAGGGAGCAUGUAAUAUGCAAGAUCGACAGAAAAUAAAUUCCUGUCUAUACAGGAAAGAAAAGAAAUCCCGCUCUGAUUCCCAGUGAUUUACAAGACUUCUCAGCCAGCCAGUUCUCCCAUCCCCCACUUUCUUUUCUUUGAACUCCCUGUAACUUACAUUGAAAGAUGCCAGGGCCUCAGAGACACUCUUCUCAAUGAACUCAUCAGUGAUUCUUCGGGAAGGGUGUUCAUUAAACACAGAAUUCAUCAGUGCAAUCUUUGCAGCACUCCGCCGGGCCUCAGCUUUUGUGGGGCAAAACUAGGCAGGACAGAGAGAGAGAAAAUAUGUAUAUAUGUGUGUCUGAGAGAGAAAGGAAGGAACAGUGGGAGGGAAACAUUAGGAUAGACACUUGGGUAGUCUUUGGAAAAAUCAGUUUGUGCAGUACAUCCUCCAAAGUUUGUUUUGUAAAAUGGUUGAGGCAUUUGGAAACAUAAUUUUGAUUCAACAUCCUGAAGUCAUUAAGGAACUGGAGACGGCUAUAGCUCAUACCAAAUUGAAUGCAGAAUGAGGAAGGCUGCUGAAGUCAGCAUAUAACCACUGGAUAUAAAAAAUACGCCCGUUUCAACUGUCCACAGAAUUAAUUACUCAAAAGCCAGAAUCUGGCCAGCCUGUUAGAAAUUUGUAUCUUGCUCUCCUGUUCCAUGCACAGGCAAGGUUUCUUUUCAUCCCUCUAGAUAAGCUAGGCAUAGAAUAGGUCUUCUCUAGGUUGCUUCUGCACAGGAGGCCUCUAGUCUCUACCAGAAGCGCCCAUCCAGGAUUCUUGGACUUCACUUUUGGCUGUGAGCAGGCAGUUCCCCCACUAACGCAGUGAGUCAAUGAGCUAUCCCUGAGCAGAGACCAAGGUCUGAAGAAGGAAUGUGUAGUCUUUUUCCCCCCAGGGGAAGCAAGGAGGAGAGGGGUAGCAAGGAGAAGGAAAGCUGACCUGAACAAAGCAAGAAAAUAUUAAAAGUUAAUUCAUGUUUUUUACAUUGUCUCCAACAUAGGUAUCAUAGCCCAAGGCUGAUUUUCAGAAGUCUUAAAUCACUCAACCUCAAAUCCCCAUAGUAUUUGUUUAUAUAAUUCAUCAUCACUGGCUGCCUCAAAGGCCUGUGUCUCCUGUCAUUUAUGAUUAGGGUCAGAGGAAAGGAAGAAAGUAAUGUUAUGGCUUUUAAAAGUAGACCAGGAUAUGUUCACUACUUAACCACCUUAAUAUCAAUAACUCCCGAUUUUCUUUAGCUGACAGGUGUCUCUGAGACAGAAUAUGGAGCUUGGUACAUUAACCCUAAGUUGUCUUCUGCAAUUUCUCCAUUCCUACUUCUCUGUUUGCUAGGCUGCUGCUCAUUCUAUAGUAUGGUAUUGUUCCUGAAAGAUCAUCCAUCCAUGAAGAAAACCACCAGGAGAAAUUUCACCUGCCAAAGUGGGUAUAGA